rfam:Comamonas sp. SCN 67-35 ABT03_C0017, whole genome shotgun sequence.
GGGGCUGUACCGGUUUCGACGUGGGUUCGGACGCGGUGUGGUGCAUGUCGAGCUUGAGUGACGCUCGUAAAUCUCCAUUCACAAAAGUAACUGCAAACGACGAACGUUUCGCACUCGCCGCCUAAACACCGGUGAGCCUUGCAACAGCACGCUGAUGGGCUGGGCAAGGGGGUAGCAAUACCUCCAGGCUGCAAGGGAAUUCACAUCAGCUGGCCGUUUGCCGGGCACCUUGGCACGCGGCGAGAUUCAAGGAUGCUGGCCUUGCAUGCAGCGUGCGUCUGCGCGGCAUGUCGGGCGAGACUCAAAACAGUACGCUAAACAUGUAGAUCUGCCCGAACAAGGCUUGCGGACGCGGGUUCAAUUCCCGCCAGCUCCACCA